UUUUAGUCUCUGUGCGAUCUGCAAAUUUAUGCGGUGUAUUUGACUUUGGUGGCCGUAUAACGUCAGUCUUCAGUGUCGAAGUUUUCUGCAGCUUUCACCACUAGAUGUCCAGUACCUCCAUGGAUGUAGCAUUACACCACAGGCACAAUCAGUGCGGCCGGCCUGCCCUACACUCUCCGCUGCUACCUCUGUAACCUAAGAUCUGGGAGUGCGAGCCUACAGGCUUCGACUCGCGCGAGUCUAGUCUCACCGCACUUUUUUUUUGUUAACCGUCGUCUUAUGCGUAACACUUAAUAACAGAAAAAAAUUGUUUAUUAUAUAUUUCUUUUUAUACAUAAACCGUGUUACACU